rnacentral:rRNA from 1 species
GCAUGCAUUAACAUGCAGUCGAACGGCAGCACGGGUGCUUGCACCUGGUGGCGAGUGGCGAACGGGUGAGUAAUACAUCGGAACAUGUCCUGUAGUGGGGGAUAGCCCGGCGAAAGCCGGAUUAAUACCGCAUACGAUCUACGGAUGAAAGCGGGGGACCUUCGGGCCUCGCGCUAUAGGGUUGGCCGAUGGCUGAUUAGCUAGUUGGUGGGGUAAAGGCCUACCAAGGCGACGAUCAGUAGCUGGUCUGAGAGGACGACCAGCCACACUGGGACUGAGACACGGCCCAGACUCCUACGGGAGGCAGCAGUGGGGAAUUUUGGACAAUGGGCGAAAGCCUGAUCCAGCAAUGCCGCGUGUGUGAAGAAGGCCUUCGGGUUGUAAAGCACUUUUGUCCGGAAAGAAAUCCUUGGCUCUAAUACAGUCGGGGGAUGACGGUACCGGAAGAAUAAGCACCGGCUAACUACGUGCCAGCAGCCGCGGUAAUACGUAGGGUGCAAGCGUUAAUCGGAAUUACUGGGCGUAAAGCGUGCGCAGGCGGUUUGCUAAGACCGAUGUGAAAUCCCCGGGCUCAACCUGGGAACUGCAUUGGUGACUGGCAGGCUAGAGUAUGGCAGAGGGGGGUAGAAUUCCACGUGUAGCAGUGAAAUGCGUAGAGAUGUGGAGGAAUACCGAUGGCGAAGGCAGCCCCCUGGGCCAAUACUGACGCUCAUGCACGAAAGCGUGGGGAGCAAACAGGAUUAGAUACCCUGGUAGUCCACGCCCUAAACGAUGUCAACUAGUUGUUGGGGAUUCAUUUCCUUAGUAACGUAGCUAACGCGUGAAGUUGACCGCCUGGGGAGUACGGUCGCAAGAUUAAAACUCAAGGGAAUUGACGGGACCCGCACAGCGUGGAUGAUGUGAUUAUUCGAUGCACGCGAAAACCUUACUACCUUGACAUGUCGAUCUGCUGAGAGGCGGAGUGCUCGAAAGAGAACGGCGCACAGUGCUGCAUGGCUGUCGUCAGCUCGGUCUGAGAUGUGGUAGUCCCGACGAGCGCAACCUUGGCCUAGUGGCUACCGCAGAGACACCCUAAGGACCUGCGCGCGGUGUACACUCGGA